ACGGAAGGCAGCAGUGGGGAAUAUUGCACAAUGGGCGCAAGCCUGAUGCAGCGAUGCCGCGUGAGGGAAGAGGGUUUUCGGAUUGUAAACCUCUGUCAACAGGGACGAAAAUGACGGUACCUGUGGAGGAAGCUCCGGCUAACUACGUGCCAGCAGCCGCGGUAAUACGUAGGGAGCAAGCGUUAUCCGGAAUUACUGGGUGUAAAGGGAGUGUAGGCGGGACUGUAAGUCAGAUGUGAAAUAUGCCGGCUCAACUGGCAGACUGCAUUUGAAACUGCGGUUCUUGAGUGAAGUAGAGGUAAGCGGAAUCCCUAGUGUAGCGGUGAAAUGCGUAGAUAUUAGGAGGAACAUCAGUGGCGAAGGCGGCUUACUGGGCUUUAACUGACGCUGAGGCUCGAAAGCGUGGGGAGCAAACAGGAUUAGAUACCCUGGUA
rnacentral:rRNA from 1 species